AUGGACCAGUUCCACGACGGGCACCACGUGCGGCUGCGGAACCUCGUGCAGCGCACCUACCUCCACGCCGCCGACGACGGGGUGGGCGUCACGCUCCACGAGCGCCGCGCAUCCAUGAACGCGGCGUGGGCGGUGCACAUCUGCCACGGCGGAGACGGCGAUGGCGAUGGCGACGGCCAUCGCCUGCUCCUCCACAGCGCCGCCUACGGCCGCUACCUUGCCGCCGGGGCCAGGCCGGCACGGCUCGGCCACAGAGGCCUUCGCGCGGAGCUGAGCGACUACGACCUUCCGGAGGUGGAGGCCAUCAUGUGGCGGGCCGUCGGGUCGGGCUUCGACUUCGAGGACGACGUCGUCCUGCUCCGCCACGUCGGGGGCCGCUACCUCCGCGCCAACGGCAAGUACCUCCCCUGGAACUCCUCCGGCGUCAGCGUCGACGACGACGACGACGCCAGCCCCAUGAUGUACUGGGUCGUCGAGCCCAUCCCCUUGAGAGAGGCGGGCAUGCCUGCCAUUCCUGGCCCGCUUCCGGUGAGCUCGCCGUGA
rnacentral:rRNA from 1 species